rnacentral:lncRNA from 1 species
CCUUCAAGCUCAAUGGUGAAGCUUCUUUAAGUUUCUUUAAUGUGGAAUUGCACCAUGCAUCAUUUGUUGCAGAUGCCUCACUUUCCUGAAAAAAAACUACCGGUAAAUUAUUCAAGAAAGUUCACUGCAGCUUUAGUUUUGAUAAAUAUAUUAUGUUACGUCAAUUUUCCAACAUAUUAAAAAGGAACUAGAUGUGGGAAAUGAUUAUAUCCUGCAAAUUUUGUUGUGGCUGAAAUCUUCUUACUCGCAAACAGAUUGAUUUUAACACGCAUUUUAUAUUAGUAAUGGGCCCAUUUUAGCACACAUUUUGGUGCACUCAACAGGUGGUGUAGCUAUGUAAAGAUAUAGUAUUCCUUUAUAUUGUUGCAUUAAACCAAUGCCUUCUUGCCUUUGCUUUUUCUAAAUGCUUUCAUGAAACAACUUCAGCUUUCUAACUUACAUGGUCUGAAAAAGAUAAACAGAAGGAAAGAAAGUGCUUACCACAGCAUCGAUAAUUUCCCCAACUGUGUCAUGGCCGAAACAUUUAUUGAGCACUUCAAUCCUAUAUAUGUAACAUGCUUAAUGGGACGAAAUUCAAAAUAAUGAAUCAUAUAUUAUAAUAAAGAAAGAAAGAAAAAAGGAGAAAGCAUUGGAUUAGCAGUUAGAGCCAGUAACAGAAAUAUGGUCUCCUAUAUGAGAAAACUAACCUGUGCAGCGCACUGAUCUUUUCAGGAUAGACUGCAUCACUAUAUUUCUCCAAACAAGACUCAAUGACAGAAGGAUCAUCGGUAACCAAAUUUCCAAGCUCUUCUUCAAUCAGUGGAAGCUUCUGUUAUUGUAACAAGUGCACCAAUCUUAUAUAACCAGGGAAGAUGAAUAAAUUGUAAGGAAAAAGAAGCACCCAAGUCAAAAGCCUAUCGGUACUAACAUCAGUGUUUGAGUAGUGUGUCGCAAGCCCGCAAGAAACCAUUUCAGCCCCACUGAGUUUUGCUCCUGUCAGACCCAAGUACUCUCCUGGAAACAUAUUUGUUUAAGUGGAAAGAUGAUUGUUCUAGUUUUAUAGUGAAAUACAGUAAAUCCAUGAUUGAACAUAUACAUUACAGGUCCAAGAAGCCAGUAAAGAAAAGCAAGUGGAACAGGCAUAAAGAAAACAUAUUGUAAAGGCCUACCUAAGUGACCAGGUAGACGAGAGAGAUGAAAGGAUGCUCCGGC